GUGGUGUCACAAAAUCGGAGGCCACGACUGUUUACUAAAAACACAAUUCAGAGCAAUGAUGAAAAUCAUAGUAUUCUGGAUGAAAUUUGCCCGAUGCCAUUAACAUAAAAGAGGUAAUGGGAAACUGUUACUAAUUGAAAGUCUGGUUAAUAGCGGUCUUAACUAUGAGGAUCCUAAGGUAGCAAAAUCAGUUGGCCAUUAAAUGUGGUCUGGUAUCAAUAGUGUAACGAUGGUCUCACUGUC
rnacentral:rRNA from 1 species